rnacentral:rRNA from 1 species
AUACGUAGGUGGCAAGCGUUGUCCGGAUUUAUUGGGCGUAAAGCGAGCGCAGGCGGUUUCUUAAGUCUGAUGUGAAAGCCCCCGGCUCAACCGGGGAGGGUCAUUGGAAACUGGGAGACUUGAGUGCAGAAGAGGAGAGUGGAAUUCCAUGUGUAGCGGUGAAAUGCGUAGAUAUAUGGAGGAACACCAGUGGCGAAGGCGGCUCUCUGGUCUGUAACUGACGCUGAGGCUCGAAAGCGUGGGGAGCAAACAGGAUUAGAUACCCUGGUAGUCCACGCCGUAAACGAUGAGUGCUAAGUGUUGGAGGGUUUCCGCCCUUCAGUGCUGCAGCAAACGCAUUAAGCACUCCGCCUGGGGAGUACGACCGCAAGGUUGAAACUUAAAGGAAUUGACGGGG